rnacentral:misc_RNA from 1 species
GUAGGCGCUGCCGCAGGCUGCGAUCUUUUGAUCUUGAGCCUUUAAUCAGGAUCAAAAGAUCGCAGCCUGCGGCAGCGCCUAC